rnacentral:lncRNA from 1 species
UGCUCAUCAACUAAUAACAUCUCAACGCUCAUCUGCUGUCCCCUUUUGUUGAUGUUUUUCGCCUCCCAGAACCUCAAGAGGCGGACCUCCGCCGUGUUGAAACAUCUCCCGGCCCUCAAAUCAGCAAGAACAGUGUACGAAUUAGCCAUCUGAAUCGGUCGCUUGGAAAUCGAAUGUUUUGAGUUGGAGUUUCAGAUUUGGUGUUUGAGCUGAGGUUUUCAUGAUAGGAGUAUAGCUGCAGAUCCAGGCAGUUUUAGAGCUAACGAAAAGUCUCGCCGAAAACUCAAUGAAAGAGGAGUGGAGUAAUCAAGGAAAAAAGUAAAAUAAAUUACAUAUUAAAGGAGAUAUGAGACGUUACGGUUAGGAAAGGGAGUGGGUUGUGUCGGUGAAACUUUGUGAUGUCAAGAAUCCCCUGAAGAAGAAGAACACAGAAGAACCCUAAAUCUACGCUGGCUAUAAACGACCCUGAUCAUCUGGGCCUAAGACUGGGCUAUUUAUAAAACACACACUAAACCCACAUCACAAAAGAAGCUCAAAGCCACUUGAGUGAAACUCACUUACGCAAAAAAAAAACAACGGACAAUAAAGCACGCGCACAUCAAAGCAUAACGCGUGAGACACACUGCCUACCUACCAGGUCGACACGUAGCGAAAAACGCCGCUCCCUGUUUGCUGAGCUGGAUAGCCUAAGGAGAGAGAUAACUCUCCUUUUUAUAUAUAGAUAUUAUAUCUCUCUUAAACGGGCGAACACAAUUCUAGUUUUUUUAUCUUAAUUUAAAGUCUCUAAUAUAUAUCUAGCUUCUUUACUCAAACAUAUCUAAUCUAUUAAAAUAGAAGUCAAAUAUAAACUAACCUAAAGACUUACAAAUUAUUUACAAGUGACUGUCACUGAAGUAAUUAAUAAACAAAUCUUUUAAUUAUUCUUUAUCUUUUCAAAAUCAAUUUGCUAAAACAACUAUAACUAAAUAGGAUUCGGCUACAAUAAUUAUAAAUUGCUAGCUUGUAUUUUACCAGAAUGUUUUAAAUUCAAUUUGAAUAUCCCUUUUUGGCAAACUACUAAAUAUCGCUAUUCCAGAUAAUUGGUUGAGAUCUCCUUCUUCAGCUACAUACUCGUGAAACACAUACACACGCAUAUUUUUUUAUCUAUGUUUUCGUAUGACAAAUAAUCAAAUGCAAAUUCAAUAAGAUAAAGAUAUUAUAAAAAUGAAUAAUACAAUUGAUGGUUUGGAAAAUAAAUUAAUUAAUCCAUAUAAACUAUAAAAUUGUUGUGUUUCAUAUUAAAAACAAUUUAAUAUAUGUAAUGUUAAAAAUAUACACUAGCAACUAUAUAAAACAAAUACUAAUCGAUAUAAAUUAAAUCAAACACCCGCACGGGUGUGCGGAUCCAACUCUAGUUCAUCUUUAUGUUUCAUGUAUUCCUCAUAAUUAUCUUGUUUUGCAUGUAUUUUAUUUUCAUUGUUUGAUCUUUCCCUCCCAAAAUUAAGAUUUAGAUAUAUAGAUUAUAGAUGUAGUUUUUAUUAUUAUUUUAGCUGAAAAAUAUAGUUCUAAACAAUCUUUUAAGAAUGGAUGCUGCAUUUAAUGUUUUAAGAUACACAAAUUUAUCUGAUCUUCAAAGCUUUCAAAUCUUAACCAGAUACAACAGACUUCAUUAGCAUACUCAGUUUGUCGUCCAAAAUGCAUAAUGCCCUAACUGGUAAGUUUCAUUCUUCACUUUAAAUUUGUUUAAAUUUGUGUUACAAUUAUAUUUCCUUUUAUUGCAUAUCUGUAAUUUUUGUAUAUAAAUUUUAAUCAUAUCUUAAAAUUUAGUUUCAAAUGAAAUAUUUGUUCUUGUGUUUUGUGUUUUCUAUAUAUAUUUCACGUCAUCAAAACAUUUAGUCUUGAACCCGCAAUAAUAUACUUCAUUAGCAUAAUUUAUUUGCAGAAUUUACUAGGAUAGUUUAUUUAAGUCAUCAAGAUUACGGAAAAUAUAGCAAACUCCAUCCAAAUAUUUUAACAUCAAUUUUUUUUUGUAACAAAUUCUCAUUAUAAAUAUUUGAUUACAAGUUAUUUUGAAUUUAACUUGUAUGUGCUUUUAAAUAUUGACUUGUAACUUUUUAGGCUACUAGAAUAAAUUUGCAAAAGGCUAGUCGUGGUUGUCGUGACAUACCUAUUAGAAUUGGUAUGUAGUAUUAGAAUUGAAUUGUGACAUGUAGUAUUAGAAUUGAAUUACAGUAUGAUUUAUAGUUCGAUGUAACUUGCAGUAAAAAAUAUGUGGUAAAAAUAGUAAGUUUAUGUGGUAAGUUUUACAGUAAAAAUAAAAGUUAUCAUUUUAUUAAAACUUAUGACUGGUAACAUUUUUGAUGUAUAAGUUGCAGUAUGAGUUCUGAAUAAAAGAAUUAAAUAUAUAAAUUGAUAAAUAGAAUUUUUUUAUUAAGCUCUUUUUAAAAUUUAAGUGAGCUCAACAAAGACGGUAUGUUCGGUGAACCUAAUAGACACAAGAGAAUCCCCAAACUUGAAGCUCGGGUUGCUUCUUGCCACAUCGAAAACACUUAGCUCAUAAGCAGAGCCUUCUUGCAAGACAUGUCUGAAGGUGUUUAGCCGGUGAACGCUGAUCGACCCUUGUAAUAAGCGUAGCCUGCGAAUGGAGAGGAUGAAUCAGAGUAAACAAAAUUGCGUCUCUCUAUAACUGUAAUUAAUAAGUUGUAUAGCCGCAGGAACAGACCCGACUGUUCAUAUGAAGAAAAGGCAAAAAUUAAGAACAAUUAACAAAUCAUGAAAUACUUAUUACGUGAUUGUAAAAUUUAAAGAAUUUUCUAAAUAUCAAGAGAUUGAACCGAGAAGAUAAUUAUAAUAGUGGCAAAAGAUACUUACAUGCUCAUCAACUAAUAACAUCUCAACGCUCAUCUGCUGUCCCCUUUUGUUGAUGUUUUUCGCCUCCCAGAACCUCAAGAGGCGGACCUCCGCCGUGUUGAAACAUCUCCCGGCCCUCAAAUCAGCAAGAACAGUGUACGAAUUAGCCAUCUGAAUCGGUCGCUUGGAAAUCGAAUGUUUUGAGUUGGAGUUUCAGAUUUGGUGUUUGAGCUGAGGUUUUCAUGAUAGGAGUAUAGCUGCAGAUCCAGGCAGUUUUAGAGCUAACGAAAAGUCUCGCCGAAAACUCAAUGAAAGAGGAGUGGAGUAAUCAAGGAAAAAAGUAAAAUAAAUUACAUAUUAAAGGAGAUAUGAGACGUUACGGUUAGGAAAGGGAGUGGGUUGUGUCGGUGAAACUUUGUGAUGUCAAGAAUCCCCUGAAGAAGAAGAACACAGAAGAACCCUAAAUCUACGCUGGCUA